GAGGGUAUAGCUCAAGUGGUAGAGUGAAUGCUUAGCAUGCAUGAGGUCCUGGGUUCAAUCCCCAGUACCUCCU
rnacentral:tRNA from 1 species